CUUCUUGUAGUGACCUGAGCUAUAGAUUUCAAAUUGGCCAAACUUUGACACCUAAUAAUAUUCUUAGUUGAAGGUAUCAUAUUUUGAAGGGCUGAAUUUUAGGGAACAAGAUUGCUAAUUUCUGGAGCAAAUUAUGGAAGAAGUGCAAUCCAUGCCAAUAGAGAUGCUCUCUGUUGUUAGCUAAGUGGAAUGUCUGCCAAAGUGGUUGUAAAUUUGUUAGAAUUUACCACCAUCUGAUGCUCACUUUACAAGAAAAGCUGAAUAUUUCGUAUUGUUUGCUGCCAGCGUGAUUAAAUAGCGGACAUGGACAUUCCAAGAAUCAUGCUAUGCCAUCCACCCAUCUCCUAUGUACUUAGCCAUGGAUCUUUUCUAAUAAACUGAAUUCCACUUUGCCUUGACAAAAAGGCCAAUUGGUUUGGAUGCUCAAAUUCAUGAGCAUGUUGGAAGAACAGAUCUUAAUAGUAAGCAAAAAAGGUAAUGGACAUAUUUAACUUUUAUUGGCUAUUAUUCAAAAAUUAUCACUUGGAUUAGAAUUUCGUUUUGUUACUCAAAAAUGAUUUGAAAGUUUUACACAUUAAGUUAUGUAUGAGUAUGGAUAUAAUAACAGUGAAUGGCCACUCUGCCAAAAGAUUUUGAUAACUCCCCUAACCAGUUAGAAGGGGGCAAGAUCCAUGACAUACUCCGACAGUGUGGUAGAAUGGCAUAUUCUUGUUUCAGUUGGGCCAUUACAAUUACAAUGAACUUGCCACUUGAGAAGCUAUACAUAUUCACAAGUAUGGUGGAUUCUUGUAAGUUUUUUGAAUUUCUGCAUCUUGGUAAGCUAUGUUUCUUGUGAAUAAGUUGGUUAGAUUCCUUGAAAUUGAUUGUGGAGAAUGCUAACCAAAAUUAGCUAUACAGAUUCCUACAGUUCACCCACCUAUCAAAUCUUAUUUUGUUAUCAUGGCCUCACCUAGAGCCCUUUGUUCCAGUGACUUCAACACUUUAAUGCCUGCUAAGCCUUCUCUUCUUAUCAAUCUUGUUGUCUUGACUAUGAGGCCAACCCAUUUGGGUGCUCCAAUUCAUACAAAAGUUUGAAGGAUACUAGUCUACAGUGAAUGGAUAAGGUCCCGAAGUUUUCUGAUUUGCUACAAUCUCAAUUAAAUUUAAACUUCACCUGUCGAAAGCUGAUGUCACUUGCUGAUACUCACUCCUUGGUGCCAUUCUGCUCUUCAAUUCGUUGGGCUGAUAUCUUGGAAAACAUCAAAAGAUAAUGGCAAUUGCAUCUGAAUGUGAAGUGUGGUGGUCAGUAGAGAAAUCGUUGCUGCAUGUAUAUAAGACUUCAAUCUGGAAAAUAGGUGACCUCAUCUGCUGCAACAAUAGAACGAGUUCUCUAAGACUUGACUUAGAUACUAGAGCCUCGUAUAUGUAGUAGCACACACUCGGCCCAACAUUUCUCAAGCUGUCAAUGUGGAACCUAGUCGUUAUAUGCAAGUUAGGUAAAGGUCAUUGACAAGUUGAUUUUGGGAAUGCUGAUUUGGGUUUGAAGUUUGAGAGAUAUGAAUCUGUUGGAAGAUAGCUAGAUAUGUUGAUUCAGACUAUGUUGGAGACCUACGGUGAGUUGGAGGUCGAUACUGCAGUCAACUAUUGCAUUGUCAACCUGUGAAGUUGAAUACAUGCCUAUGAUUGAAGCAAUCAAGGAGGUUAUUUGGCCACACGGUUUGAUUAAAGACUUUGGAAUCAGCAGGAGCAUGAUCUUGAAAUUCAACAUUACUAGGAGUUCUAUUUGACUUUUUGACAACUUUUAUAUAUAUGUUGCUUUAGCUAAAGAGAGGGCUGCAGUGCUGUGCCACGAUUAGAAAUUAGAAAAAGUUAUCUUUAGUUGAAGCCUCAAACUUUGUAUUUUUGAGAGAGUUUUUAGGGUGUAUUUGGGAUUUGGGUUUUGUGAAAGUGAUUUUGUUCGUCUUUUGUAAUCUCCAUAUUUGAUUAGUGAAAUUUUCUCCACACCAUCACCCAUGAAUGUAGACUAUUGCUGAACCAUG